AAUGGGUCAGCGACUUAUAUUCUGUAGCAAGGUUAACCGUAUAGGGGAGCCGGAGGGAAACCGAGUCUUAACCGGGCGUUAAGUUGCAGGGUAUAGACCCGAAACCCGGUGAUCUAGCCAUGGGCAGGUUGAAGGUUGGGUAACACUAACUGGAGGACCGAACCGACUAAUGUUGAAAAAUUAGCGGAUGACCUGUGGCUGGGGGUGAAAGGCCAAUCAAACCGGGAGAUAGCUGGUUCUCCCCGAAAGCUAUUUAGGUAGCGCCUCGUGAAUUCAUCUCCGGGGGUAGAGCACUGUUUCGGCUAGGGGGCCAUCCCGGCUUACCAACCCGAUGCAAACUGCGAAUACCGGAGAAUGUUAUCACGGGAGACACACGGCGGGUGCUAACGUCCGUCGUGAAGAGGGAAACAACCCAGACCGCCAGCUAAGGUCCCAAAGUCAUGGUUAAGUGGGAAACGAUGUGGGAAGGCCCAGACAGCCAGGAUGUUGGCUUAGAAGCAGCCAUCAUUUAAAGAAAGCGUAAUAGCUCACUGGUCGAGUCGGCCUGCGCGGAAGAUGUAACGGGGCUAAACCAUGCACCGAAGCUGCGGCAGCGACACUGUGUGUUGUUGGGUAGGGGAGCGUUCUGUAAGCCUGUGAAGGUGUGCUGUGAGGCAUGCUGGAGGUAUCAGAAGUGCGAAUGCUGACAUAAGUAACGAUAAAGCGGGUGAAAAGCCCGCUCGCCGGAAGACCAAGGGUUCCUGUCCAACGUUAAUCGGGGCAGGGUGAGUCGACCCCUAAGGCGAGGCCGAAAGGCGUAGUCGAUGGGAAACGGGUUAAUAUUCCCGUACUUGGUGUUACUGCGAAGGGGGGACGGAGAAGGCUAUGUUGGCCGGGCGACGGUUGUCCCGGUUUAAGCGUGUAGGUGUGUGUUCCAGGUAAAUCCGGUUCACUUUAACACUGAGGCGUGAUGACGAGGCACUACGGUGCUGAAGCAACAAAUGCCCUGCUUCCAGGAAAAGCCUCUAAGCAUCAGGUAACAUCAAAUCGUACCCCAAACCGACACAGGUGGUCAGGUAGAGAAUACCAAGGCGCUUGAGAGAACUCGGGUGAAGGAACUAGGCAAAAUGGUGCCGUAACUUCGGGAGAAGGCACGCUGACACGUAGGUGAAGUGAUUUACUCACGGAGCUGAAGUCAGUCGAAGAUACCAGCUGGCUGCAACUGUUUAUUAAAAACACAGCACUGUGCAAACACGAAAGUGGACGUAUACGGUGUGACGCCUGCCCGGUGCCGGAAGGUUAAUUGAUGGGGUCAGCGCAAGCGAAGCUCCUGAUCGAAGCCCCGGUAAACGGCGGCCGUAACUAUAACGGUCCUAAGGUAGCGAAAUUCCUUGUCGGGUAAGUUCCGACCUGCACGAAUGGCGUAAUGAUGGCCAGGCUGUCUCCACCCGAGACUCAGUGAAAUUGAACUCGCUGUGAAGAUGCAGUGUACCCGCGGCAAGACGGAAAGACCCCGUGAACCUUUACUAUAGCUUGACACUGAACAUUGAGCCUUGAUGUGUAGGAUAGGUGGGAGGCUUUGAAGCGUGGACGCCAGUCUGCGUGGAGCCGACCUUGAAAUACCACCCUUUAA
rnacentral:rRNA from 1 species